rnacentral:rRNA from 1 species
AUUGAACGCUGGCGGCAGGCUUAACACAUGCAAGUCGAGCGGGGGAGGUUGCUUCGGUAACUGACCUAGCGGCGGACGGGUGAGUAAUGCUUAGGAAUCUGCCUAUUAGUGGGGGACAACAUUCCGAAAGGGAUGCUAAUACCGCAUACGCCCUACGGGGGAAAGCAGGGGAUCUUCGGACCUUGCGCUAAUAGAUGAGCCUAAGUCGGAUUAGCUAGUUGGUGGGGUAAAGGCCUACCAAGGCGACGAUCUGUAGCGGGUCUGAGAGGCUGAUCCGCCACACUGGGACUGAGACACGGCCCAGACUCCUACGGGAGGCAGCAGUGGGGAAUAUUGGACAAUGGGCGGAAGCCUGAUCCAGCCAUGCCGCGUGUGUGAAGAAGGCCUUUUGGUUGUAAAGCACUUUAAGCGAGGAGGAGGCUCUUAAGGUUAAUACCCUUGAUGAGUGGACGUUACUCGCAGAAUAAGCACCGGCUAACUCUGUGCCAGCCGCCGCCGUAAGAC